AGAGUCUGAUUCUGGCUCAGAACGAACGCUGGCGGCGUGGAUAAGACAUGCAAGUCGAGCGCUGACUUAAGGGUAGCAAUAUUUUUAAGUCGGAGCGGCGCAAGGGUGUGUAACACGUGGGAAUCUGCCUUAAAGUGGGGGAUAACUCCGAGAAAUCGGAGCUAAUACCGCAUGUGAUCGCGAGAUCAAAGUUGGGGAUCGUAAGACCUGACGCUUUAAGAUGAGCCCGCGGCCUAUCAGCUAGUUGGUGGGAUAAAAGCUUACCAAGCCGACGAUCUGUAGCUGGUCUGAGAGGACGACCAGCCACACUGGGACUGAGACACGGCCCAGACUCCUACGGGAGGCAGCAGUGGGGAAUUUUGGACAAUGGGCGAAAGCCUGAAGGAGCGACGCCGCGUGGGGGAUGAAUGGCUUCGGCCCGUAAACCCCUGUCAUUUGUGAACAAGUUGUUUCGCCUAAUACGUGAAACAUUGAUUGUAGCGGAAGAGGAAGGGACGGCUAACUCUGUGCCAGCAGCCGCGGUAAUACAGAGGUCCCAAGCGUUGUUCGGAUUUACUGGGCGUAAAGGGUGCGUAGGCGGUUUGGUAAGUCUGACGUGAAAUCUCCGGGCUCAACCCGGAAACUGCGUUGGAUACUACCAAACUAGAGGAGUGGAGGGGAGACUGGAAUACUUGGUGUAGCAGUGAAAUGCGUAGAUAUCAAGUGGAACACCAGUGGCGAAGGCGAGUCUCUGGACAUUUCCUGACGCUGAGGCACGAAAGCCAGGGGAGCAAACGGGAUUAGAUACCCCGGUAGUCCUGGCCCUAAACGGUGCGCGUUUGCUGUAAGCGGAUUCGACCCCGCUUGUGGCGAAGCUAACGCGUUAAACGCGCCGCCUGGGAAGUACGGCCGCAAGGUUAAAACUCAAAGAAAUUGACGGGGGCCUGCACAAGCGGUGGAGUAUGUGGCUUAAUUCGAUGCAACGCGAAGA
rnacentral:rRNA from 1 species